rnacentral:rRNA from 1 species
GACGAACGCUGGCGGCGUGCUUAACACAUGCAAGUCGAACGGAAAGGCCCUGCUUUUGUGGGGUGCUCGAGUGGCGAACGGGUGAGUAACACGUGAGUAACCUGCCCUUGACUUUGGGAUAACUUCAGGAAACUGGGGCUAAUACCGGAUAGGAGCUCCUGCUGCAUGGUGGGGGUUGGAAAGUUUCGGCGGUUGGGGAUGGACUCGCGGCUUAUCAGCUUGUUGGUGGGGUAGGGGCUUACCAAGGCUUUGACGGGUAGCCGGCCUGAGAGGGUGACCGGCCACAUUGUGACUGAGGUAGGGCCCAGACGGCAACGGGAGGCAGCAGUGGGAAAUAUUGCACAAUGGGCGGAAGCCUGAUGCAGCAACGCCGCGUGGGGGAUGACGGCCUUCGGGUUGUAAACCGCUUUCGCCUGUGACGAAGCGUGAGUGACGGUAAUGGGUAAAGAAGCACCGGCUAACUACGUG